GAUGAAGAACGCAGCGAAAUGCGAUAAGUAAUGUGAAUUGCAGAAUUCAGUGAAUCAUCGAAUCUUUGAACGCACAUUGCGCCCGCCAGUAUUCUGGCGGGCAUGCCUGUUCGAGCGUCAUUUCAACCAUCAAGCCCCAGGCUUGUGUUGGGGACCUGCGGCUGCCGCAGGCCCUGAAAACCAGUGGCGGGCUCGCUGUCACACCGGGCGUAGUAGAUUUUAUCUCGCUCAGGGCGUGCUGCGGGUUCCGGCCGUUAAAAAGCCUUUUUUACCCAAGGUUGACCUCGGAUCAGGUAGGAAUACCCGCUGAACUUAAGCACAUCAAUAAGCGGAGGA
rnacentral:misc_RNA from 1 species